GUGCACAAUAGCGGCUGGUUCUCCUUCUACAACAGUGUCGGCGAUGGAAUCAAAAUCGAUUUAAUCUUAGAAGCCUUCAUCUUCAACAUUGAAAUCAUUAAGGUUUGGUCUAUGGCUAGAAGAUUUGUUCAGCCACAUUAAUAUAAACCAUUUGUUAGAAAGUGUAUUAUACAAGGUGAUAUUGGCAUUGGAAGUGUUAGAGAAGUCAAUGCUUAAAUUUGUUUUUCCAACUUCCAAAUGCAUCCUUGCGUGAGGUGUGUGAUUAUGUCAUCACAAAUUAAUGUUUAUUAUUCUUGUUUGUUUAAUUACUUUAUUAUAACACAUUAUUAUAAUUCAUUAUUCUAACAUGCAAAGACUACUAAGAUUACUAAUUUAAAGACAAACAUGAUUGAAUUGAGCAAGUUCCACAAAGAUGUUGAAUUCAUCCUUGAGAAUCUAACUGUUAAAAUCAGAGGUUAGUUAGUAAAAUUCAUGUUCAUUUUGAUUACAUUUCCAUUAAUUAUUGUUUCAUUGACCAUAGUUAAAAUACAACUCUUUUGCUGCAUAGGUGCUAUCUUGAUUCAGUGGCUUCUCUACAAAGAAAUUGGAAGCUAAUAGAGUGGCAGCAGCAUUGUACAAAAAGCUUGGUUCAGCUUUGAAUGUCAUAGUGACUCCUACGUUUAGUUUUUAGACAAGGGACUUACUUCUAAUAGGUAUGAAUAAUACUUAGUAGUUAUUGAUCAAGAAAUAUCGUAUUGUGAAAGAUGUGAAUGCAAGAGACCUCUUUACUCAUGAUACCCCUUCCCGCCGAUGCUUUCCAAUUUGAUGAUGCUUCUUUUCAAUGAGAUGCAUCUGACCUGAGGUAUUUGAUGAUCCUACAGAAUUAACACAAGAAGAUUUGUAUGAUUUGCGACUCCGUUGGUUUUUUAAGUGCGCGAAAGGACUUAAAUGGUUGGAUAUUUGUUGUGUUAUUAUUUUGUAGUUGUAAACCGUGUGUG